CCUACGGGAGGCAGCAGUGGGGAAUUUUUCGCAAUGGGGGCAACCCUGACGAAGCAAUGCCGCGUGGAUGAAGAAGGCCUUCGGGUUGUAAAGUCCUUUCGUGGGGGACGAAAAGGCGGAUCCGAAUACGGUCUGCUAUUGACGUGAACCCAAGAAGAAGCACCGGCUAACUCCGUGCCAGCAGCCGCGGUAAUACGGAGGGUGCGAGCGUUAAUCGGAAUUACAGGGCGUAAAGGGCGCGUAGGCGGUGGGUUACGUCUGCCGUGAAAUCCCCGGGCUCAACCUGGGAAUGGCGGUGGAAACGGGCUGACUGGAGUAUGGGAGAGGGUGAUGGAAUUCCAGGUGUAGCGGUGAAAUGCGUAGAGAUCUGGAGGAACACCAGUGGCGAAGGCGGUCACCUGGCCCAAUACUGACGCUGAGGCGCGAAAGCGUGGGGAGCAAACAGGAUUAGAUACCCUGGUAGUCACGCCCUAAACGAUGGAUACUGGAUGUUUGGCGCCUUAAGUGCUGAGUGUCGUAGCUAACGCGAUAAGUAUCCCGCCUGGGAAGUACGGCCGCAAGGUUAAAACUCAAAGGAAUUUGACGG
rnacentral:rRNA from 1 species